CCUACGGGUGGCAGCAGUGAGGAAUAUUGGUCAAUGGGCGUAAGCCUGAACCAGCCAAGUCGCGUGAGGGAUGAAGGUUCUAUGGAUCGUAAACCUCUUUUAUAAGGGAAUAAAGUGUGGGACGUGUCCUAUUUUGUAUGUACCUUAUGAAUAAGGAUCGGCUAACUCCGUGCCAGCAGCAGCGGUAAUACGGAGGAUACGAGCUUUAUCCGGAUUUAUUGGGUUUAAAGGGUGCGUAGGCGGCCUUUUAAGUCAGCGGUGAAAGUCUGUGGCUCAACCAUAGAAUUGCCGUUGAAACUGGGGGCCUUGAGUAUGUUUGAGGCAGGCGGAAUGCGUGGUGUAGCGGUGCAAUGCUUAGAUAUCACGCAGAACCCCGAUUGCGAAGGCAGCCUGCCAAGCCAUGACUGACGCUGAUGCACGAAAGCGUGGGGAUCAAACAGGAUUAGAUACCCCAGUAGUC
rnacentral:rRNA from 1 species